UGGGGAAUAUUGCACAAUGGAGGGAACUCUGAUGCAGCGACGCCGCGUGAACGAAGAAGGCUUUCGAGUCGUAAAGUUCUUUUAUAUGGGAAGAUAAUGACGGUACCAUAAGAAAAAGCCCCGGCUAACUACGUGCCAGCAGCCGCGGUAAUACGUAGGGGGCUAGCGUUGUCCGGAAUCACUGGGCGUAAAGGGUUCGCAGGCGGAAAUGCAAGUCAGGUGUAAAAGGCAGUAGCUUAACUACUGUAAGCAUUUGAAACUGCAUAUCUUGAGAAGAGUAGAGGUAAGUGGAAUUUUUAGUGUAGCGGUGAAAUGCGUAGAUAUUAAAAAGAAUACCGGUGGCGAAGGCGACGUACUGGGCUCAUUCUGACGCAGAGGAACGAAAGCGUGGGUAGCAAACAGG
rnacentral:rRNA from 1 species